UCUCCGUAGGUGAACCUGCGGAGGGAUCAUUACAGAGUUCAUGCCCUCCGGGUAGAUCUCCCACCCAUUGCUAUAACUACUCUCGUUGCUUUGGCGGGCCGCUGGGCCCUGCCCGGCCGCCGGCCCUGGCUGGCGCGUGCCCGCCAGAGAACUCACAAAGUAUGAAUGUUAGUGUCGUCCGAGUAAUUAUACAAUCGUUAAAACUUUCAACAACGGAUCUCUUGGUUCUG
rnacentral:misc_RNA from 1 species